AAAUUGCAACAGUUACGAUAGUCGCAAAUUAAUUUUCUUAAAGAUUGAAAUCAAUUGUUCUUAUACAAUGGGCUGUGUUAAACCUGGUAAUGGCGGUUCUCACGGAGGAGGUGGCGGAGGAGGACAUGGUGGCGGCGGCGGAGGUGGAGGCGGUAACCAUUAAUUACUGCAAGAUUAAUGUACCUAUUUUGAUGACAUAAAUAAAUAUUAUAUUAUGUUUACACAUUGAAA